UUUUUUUUUAAUGAUCUAAAGAGCCUGGAUUCUCUGCAGCUGCUUUUCUUUGCAGGAAAGAUUGUAGCCCUUUCCACCUUGCGACAGCAGCUGCAUCUCAGUUUCCCUCUCUCAGAAAAGUGGUUUGACCCUAUAAGCAGAUUUCAAGACUUAUGUCCUCAAGAUAGACAACAAUUCAGGUCUUCAGACAACAAUUCAGGUCGUCAACUGCUUUCUUU
rnacentral:lncRNA from 1 species